rnacentral:misc_RNA from 1 species
UAUCCGUAGGUGAACCAGCGGAGGGAUCAUUACCGAGCUUACAUCUCUCAAACCCUUUGUGUACCUUACCUUAUGUUGUUUCGGCUGGAUCGCCCUGGCGCUUCACGGUGCCGGAACUCAGCGCCUGCCGGAGGCACAAAACUCUUUUUUAUUUAUGUUUCCUCUCCGAGUGGCACAAGCAAAUUAAAUCAAGACUUUCAACAACGGAUCUCUUGGUUCUG